UUACUGAACUUCCUUUUUUUCUUUUUUCUUUUGUUGUUUUUUUUUUUUUUUUUGCCCCUGGUAGACUUAUUCCUUUAAAGGUGCACUAGAAGUGUUUUGAGAAGUCUUUAGAUCACACUGAAAGACAGUAUAGCCUAAGAAUUAGAAGUCUCUUUAACACUGAGAAUUACCGAAUGCCAGAGGCUGGGAGGGAUCUCUGGAUAUCCAUCCCUGCUCCAUCCACCCUGCUCUAG
rnacentral:lncRNA from 1 species